rnacentral:rRNA from 1 species
GACGAACGCUGGCGGCGUGCUUAACACAUGCAAGUCGAACGGAAAGGCCCUGCUUUUGUGGGGUGCUCGAGUGGCGAACGGGUGAGUAACACGUGAGUAACCUGCCCUUGACUUUGGGAUAACUUCAGGAAACUGGGGCUAAUACCGGAUAGGAGCUCCUGCUGCAUGGUGGGGGUUGGAAAGUUUCGGCGGUUGGGGAUGGACUCGCGGCUUAUCAGCUUGUUGGUGUGGUAGUGGCUUACCAAGGGUUUGACGGGUAGCCGGCCUGAGAGGGUGACCGGCCACAUUGGGACUGAGAUACGGCCCAGAAUCCUGCGGGAGGCAGCAGGGGGGAAUAUUGCACAAUGGGCGGAAGCCUGAUGCAGCAACGCCGCGUGCGGGAUGACGGCCUUCGGGUUGUAAACCGCUUUCGCCUGUGACGAAGAGUGAGUGACGGUAAUGGGUAAAGAAGCACCGGCUAACUACGUG